rnacentral:tRNA from 1 species
GGGCGAGUGGUGGAAUGGUAUACACGCGACACUUAAAAUGUUGUGCCAAAAGCAUGUGGGUUCGAGCCCCACCUCGCCCACCA